GUGAGAGUUCAAGUCCGGCAUGGUUCCAGCCAGGUUUGCAGGCAGGCUCAGUUCAUUCAAACAAACGGGACAGCAGGGAGUUAAUCCCCUCUUUAAUCAACCCAGCCUGACCAGCACGUGUGCCAAGACUGGCAGGAAGAAUGGCCACUUUGAUCACUGUUUGGAUUGUGGAAUGUGCUUCUCGUCUUCCUUUGCUGGGGCUCCUAAAGAAUCAUUUCAACAAAUUCUAAGCACUUCUUAUUAACUUAUUUAUUAGUUGAUGCAUUUCUCAGGCCAGGUGUUUUACAUUAGAUCACCACCAAGAACAACUAGAGUUCAAGGCCUGACAGGUACAAGGCUCUUCAAAAUGGCAAACAGAAAACUACCAUAAAUACUCCGCUCAAGGAGGAAGAAGCCACCCACGUUGCAGACGGCUGUGCCGUGGCCUCUGACUAAAAGCCAGAAAUUAAAGUGCAUGGUGUUGACUCUAGACUUGAUGAAAACAUUUUACAUUGAAUUGAUGGGAAUGUGAGCAACACUGGGCUGACGCCAGGUGAACACAAUUUGUUAUAAACCCUCAAACUGCUUAGUAUUCUUUCACUAGUUCCCUAUCCACUGCCAGCUUGGGAGAUGGCUUGUGGGUG